GCUUGCAGCCAGAGCAUCCUGAGCUCUGAUCUCACCCUGAUCUUAUAAGCUAAGGAGGAUCUGGUCUGGUAAGUAGCAGCAUGAAUCACUAUGCAAUGCUAUUAAUGCAUCCA
rnacentral:rRNA from 1 species